UUAGAGGAAGUAAAAGUCGUAACAAGGUUUCCGUAGGUGAACCUGCGGAAGGAUCAUUAUUGAAUAAACCUGAUGUGGCUGUUAGCUGGCUUUUCGAAGCAUGUGCUCGUCCGUCAUCUUUAAUCUCUCCACCUGUGCACAUUUUGUAGUCUUGGAUACCUCUCGAGGAAACUCGGAUUUUAGGAUCGCCGUGCUGUAAAAGUCAGCUUUCCUCUCAUUUCCAAGACUAUGUUUUUAUAUACACCAAAGUAUGUUUAAAGAAUGUCAUCAAUAGGAACUUGUUUCCUAUAAAAUUAUACAACUUUCAGCAACGGAUCUCUUGGCUCUCGCAUCGAUGAAGAACGCAGCGAAAUGCGAUAAGUAAUGUGAAUUGCAGAAUUCAGUGAAUCAUCGAAUCUUUGAACGCACCUUGCGCUCCUUGGUAUUCCGAGGAGCAUGCCUGUUUGAGUGUCAUUAAAUUCUCAACCUUCCAGCUUUUAUUAGCUUGGUUAGGCUUGGAUGUGGGGGUUGUAGGCUUCAUUAAUGAGGUCAGCUCUCCUUAAAUGCAUUAGCGGAACUUUUGUGGACCGUCUAUUGGUGUGAUAAUUAUCUACGCCGUGGAUGUGAAGCAGCUUUAUGAAGUUCAGCUUCUAAUCGUCCAUUGACUUGGACAAUUUUUGACAAUUUGACCUCAAAUCAGGUAGGACUACCCGCUGAACUUAAGCAUAUCA
rnacentral:rRNA from 1 species